GCACCGAAGCUGCGGCAGCGACGCUGAUGCGUUGUUGGGUAGGGGAGCGUUCUGUAAGCCUGUGAAGGUGUGUCGUGAGGCAUGCUGGAGGUAUCAGAAGUGCGAAUGCUGACAUAAGUAACGAUAAAGCGGGUGAAAAGCCCGCUCGCCGGAAGACCAAGGGUUCCUGUCCAACGUUAAUCGGGGCAGGGUGAGUCGACCCCUAAGGCGAGGCCGAAAGGCGUAGUCGAUGGGAAACGGGUUAAUAUUCCCGUACUUGGUGUUACUGCGAAGGGGGGACGGAGAAGGCUAUGUUGGCCGGGCGACGGUUGUCCCGGUUUAAGCGUGUAGGUGUGUGUUCCAGGUAAAUCCGGUUCACUUUAACACUGAGGCGUGACGACGAGGCACUACGGUGCUGAAGCAACAAAUGCCCUGCUUCCAGGAAAAGCCUCUAAGCAUCAGGUAACAUCAAAUCGUACCCCAAACCGACACAGGUGGUCAGGUAGAGAAUACCAAGGCGCUUGAGAGAACUCGGGUGAAGGAACUAGGCAAAAUGGUGCCGUAACUUCGGGAGAAGGCACGCUGACACGUAGGUGAAGUGAUUUACUCAUGGAGCUGAAGUCAGUCGAAGAUACCAGCUGGCUGCAACUGUUUAUUAAAAACACAGCACUGUGCAAACACGAAAGUGGACGUAUACGGUGUGACGCCUGCCCGGUGCCGGAAGGUUAAUUGAUGGGGUCAGCGCAAGCGAAGCUCCUGAUCGAAGCCCCGGUAAACGGCGGCCGUAACUAUAACGGUCCUAAGGUAGCGAAAUUCCUUGUCGGGUAAGUUCCGACCUGCACGAAUGGCGUAAUGAUGGCCAGGCUGUCUCCACCCGAGACUCAGUGAAAUUGAACUCGCUGUGAAGAUGCAGUGUACCCGCGGCAAGACGGAAAGACCCCGUGAACCUUUACUAUAGCUUGACACUGAACAUUGAGCCUUGAUGUGUAGGAUAGGUGGGAGGCUUUGAAGUGUGGACGCCAGUCUGCAUGGAGCCGACCUUGAAAUACCACCCUUUAAUGUUUGAUGUUCUAACGUGGACCCGUAAUCCGGGUUGCGGACAGUGUCUGGUGGGUAGUUUGACUGGGGCGGUCUCCUCCUAAAGAGUAACGGAGGAGCACGAAGGUUGGCUAAUCCUGGUCGGACAUCAGGAGGUUAGUGCAAUGGCAUAAGCCAGCUUGACUGCGAGCGUGACGGCGCGAGCAGGUGCGAAAGCAGGUCAUAGUGAUCCGGUGGUUCUGAAUGGAAGGGCCAUCGCUCAACGGAUAAAAGGUACUCCGGGGAUAACAGGCUGAUACCGCCCAAGAGUUCAUAUCGACGGCGGUGUUUGGCACCUCGAUGUCGGCUCAUCACAUCCUGGGGCUGAAGUAGGUCCCAAGGGUAUGGCUGUUCGCCAUUUAAAGUGGUACGCGAGCUGGGUUUAGAACGUCGUGAGACAGUUCGGUCCCUAUCUGCCGUGGGCGCUGGAGAACUGAGGGGGGCUGCUCCUAGUACGAGAGGACCGGAGUGGACGCAUCACUGGUGUUCGGGUUGUCAUGCCAAUGGCACUGCCCGGUAGCUAAAUGCGGAAGAGAUAAGUGCUGAAAGCAUCUAAGCACGAAACUUGCCCCGAGAUGAGUUCUCCCUGAGACUUAGAGUCUCCUGAAGGAACGUUGAAGACGACGACGUUGAUAGGCCGGGUGUGUAAGCGCAGCGAUGCGUUGAGCUAACCGGUACUAAUGAACCGUGAGGCUUAACCUUACAACGCCGAAG
rnacentral:rRNA from 1 species